UACGUAGGGGGCAAGCGUUGUCCGGAUUUAUUGGGCGUAAAGAGCGUGUAGGCGGCCAGGCAGGUCCGCUGUGAAAACCCGAGGCUCAACCUCGGGACGUCGGUGGAAACCGCCUGGCUAGAGUCCGGAAGAGGAGAGUGGAAUUCCCGGUGUAGCGGUGAAAUGCGCAGAUAUCGGGAGGAACACCCGUGGCGAAGGCGGCUCUCUGGGACGGUACUGACGCUGAGACGCGAAAGCGUGGGGAGCGAACAGGAUUAGAUACCCCAGUAGUCC
rnacentral:rRNA from 1 species